rnacentral:rRNA from 1 species
UACGGAGGAUCCGAGCGUUAUCCGGAUUUAUUUGGUUUAAAGGGUGCGUAGGUGGAUUGGUAAGUCAGUGGUGAAAGUUUGCAGCUUAACUGUAACAUUGCCGUUGAAACUGCCGGUCUUGAGUGCAAAUGAGGUAGGCUGAAUGCGUCGUGUAGCGGUGAAAUGCUUAGAUAUGACGCAGAACUCCGAUUGCGAAGGCAGCUUACUGGGAUGCAACUGACGCUGAGGCACGAAAGCGUGGGUAUCAAACAGGAUUAGAUA